rnacentral:rRNA from 1 species
UACGGGGGGGGGCAAGCGUUGUUCGGAAUUACUGGGCGUAAAGGGCGCGUAGGCGCCUUCUAAGUCGGACGUGAAAUCCCUCGGCUCAACCGAGGAACUGCGUCUGAUACUGGAAGGCUUGAAUCCGGGAGAGGGAUGUGGAAUUCCAGGUGUAGCGGUGAAAUGCUGUAGAUAUCUGGAGGAACACCAGUGGCGAAGGCGGCACCCUGGAC